UACGGAGGGGGCUAGCGUUGUUCGGAAUUACUGGGCGUAAAGCGUGCGCAGGCGGUGAUGUAAGACAGGUGUGAAAUCCCCGGGCUUAACCUGGGAACUGCAUUUGUGACUGCAUCGCUGGAGUGCGGCAGAGGGGGAUGGAAUUCCGCGUGUAGCAGUGAAAUGCGUAGAUAUGCGGAGGAACACCGAUGGCGAAGGCAGCCCCCUGGGUCAAGACUGACGCUCAUGCACGAAAGCGUGGGGAGCAAACAGG
rnacentral:rRNA from 1 species